AGAAAAUAAGCAGAGCAAAGAGCACAUGCACCAGCAUGAAGACAGAAGUCAAAACAAUUUCACAAAGACAAAACAAAGCCCCAAACCCAAUCAGCCGAUCCCCAAUCCCAAAUUCAAAACCUAACAGCCGUUAGUCAUCCUCCGCGCCAUACCAUGUCUAGCCGUCGUAGCCCACGACUUCGAUCCUCAAAUUCACAAUCUUACAAAACAAAAAACAAACCCUAACAACCACAUCCUCUCUUAUUUGGUUAUGCCACUUGAUUUGGCAGUCCCUCUACGUCGCUCUACGUUAGCUCAACUCGUCGUUGCAGCCAACAACUUCAGCUCACAACUCUCUCUCUCUCUCUCUCUCUCUCUCUCUCUCUCUUUCUUUAUUCAUCGUCGCAACCAACUAUUUUAGUUCAAGACUCUCUCUCAAAUUGCCAUCGUAGCCCACGACUUAGGUUUAGCCACUACUUCAUCUCCUUCUCCCAGCUUGCCAUUAGCUCUUCAUGCCUUCAUGGUAAAUCAGCUCUUCACAGCCUGUGUACAUACUCAGUAGUGUUUUCUUUAUUGUUGUAAUUUGUAUUUGAAUAUUAUGAAUUUAGUGUUUUGGAAACCCCGAAUAUUUCAAAUUGGUUGAUGUUUUUAUCCCGACGAAUUCAAAAUAAUGGGCAGUGCAAUACGCUAAUGGUUUUUGGAAGUUGAUGGAUCAUGAGAAGGAUGAUUCUUUGCCCUUUGCCAUUCUAUUUGUUUAUUUGUUGAGAAUUCUAGCUAUAACAUAAACCAUUAACCUUAUCUGAAUUAUUAGCCCGACUCGAUUUAUAAACCCAAUAACCCAAACCGUUUUGCAACCCAAAAUUAACAAAUUG
rnacentral:lncRNA from 1 species